CAGAGCCUGGUACACUCUGUUGAGGCAGGUCUAAGCCCCUCCUCCCUGCACCAAGGCUACAAAAAGUGUCCCACCAUAGGCACUGGGCUCCAAAAAGCCCACUCCUGCACCAGGGAUGGAUUCUGAUUGUACUGCCUGGGGGCCCACAAGACAGUUAAACGACUGUCUCACAUAUCCAGAGGGCCUAGUCCUGUAGCAUGGGGGCUCCACAGCUAUUGGUCCACAGUUCAUGUGUUUCCUCUAGUUUGGCUGUCCGUCUCUAUACAUUUCCCCACCAUGAUCUCAAUAUCCCUUGCUCAUAGAAUCUCUCUUCUCACAUCGAUUGGACUCCUGGAGCUCGGGCUGGCCCCCAGCUGUGCAUCUUUGCUUUGCUUCCAUCAGUCACUGGGUGAAGGCUCAUGGGGCUCCUCAGCUAUUGGUCCACAGUUCAUGCGUUUCCACUAGUUUGGCUGAUUAUCUCUGUACUUUUCCCCAUCAUGACCUCGAUGUCCCUUGCUCAUAAAAACUGACCUUCCCAUUAUCAUUAAGUCUAUCACUCCUUGGUAAUAAGGAGAUGCAGGUACUUGUGGAGAAUCAUACCUCACAUACAUUUCUAUAAUAAUUACCUUUUGGACAUAUACUUUAGUAGGAGAUGAACACUCACUUUCCCAUAUGGAAGUACUGAGGCAUUUCCAAACAUUCAGAGAAUUCAAGGGUGCUGAAGGAUUUCCCUUGAGUCCCAGGAGAGAUUCCUGGAAUGGGAAACCUGACUUCUGGAGAGUUAUGAGGAGAUCUGGUUAGCAGGGAGGCAUUGUCAGUUCCCCAUGACAUGAGGAGUCUCUUUCCUGGACAUUCUAUUGUAUCCUGAAAACUUUAGAAUGUUUUCUGAUGUCAUCUGUGUUGUAGCGCCACCAACUGCCUUUGCGGAGCUGGUUCAGUGCUCUUCCAGUUCAGCCUUGAACAUGUUGGGAAGACUCAGGAGUCUAUUGGGUAGAAAGAAUAGAGAGGGAAGAAAGACCGGAGAGAGGCAGACACAAACUGACCUUCAACCUCAGUGUAAAACAUCAAGAAAAAAAUGAUCCAGAAGAUGGUAUAGUAAGUUCUGGGCAGGAAAUUGGCAUCUUCCUGAAGGACAUGGGUGUGGUGAAUCUUCAAGUAACAAGACAUAGGAGGUAGGAGUCUCUGGGAACCAACUGGACUUCCCUGCUUGUCAUGGCUCCUGAAAUUCAAGGAUUCUAGAAGAGUAAUUUGUCUGUCCCAGAAGUCAAGAGGGCCUCCGAGGAGCCACCACCCACUCCAAACAGCCUCACAAAGAGACAAGUGAAGCAGAAGGUGAAGAGCCUGACCAGUCAGCUCCAGGUGAUGACCGCCCAAUGGAAUGAUCUGAGAGAUCGCCUCAUCUUAGUAACUGAAGGAACAUUGGACAACAGCAUCCUUUACAAGAACUGAGGAGGUUGAAGGAAGACAUAGUCAACCAGAAACCCUGACAUUCUCCACUCUACAGUCAAGGCCUCCUCAGAACAAGACAUGUACUUCUAACUGUAGAAUCACAAAUGAAGAAAAUAUCAACCACCCUGCAAGUGGUCCAUCCAUAAUCUAAUUCAUGUGUCUCUCUAGUUAUGGAGUAAGGAAACCAUCAGGAAGACGUUUGACAUUAAAAAAAAACAGCAAGAAUUAUGCAGAAAAAGCUGACAUCUACCCGCAAGUGUUCCCAGUGAAGGCCACAACAACUUAGAGAGAGAAUAUGUUUCCAUUCAUAGUUGCUCUGGAAGUUUAUUGCUAUGAACUUUUGUUAGCUGACUGAGUCUUCAGCUCUUCAUAUGUGGAUGGAGAUAUGUCCACAGAGACUGUGUUGCUGCUAUCCAGACAAACAACACAAAGGAAGCAUCAUAUUCUCACUCCAGUCGAGUGCUAGAGCUACUCAACUUCAUGCACAUGUGAUGGUGAAGUGAAUUGUUCUGAGAUAUGAUUUAGAAAGGAUGCCAUCAUGAGCUUUUAUGUCUUUGGGUAGCAGAUGCUCCCCAUGUCCUUAUUCGGUCUUAAAUCGGCACAGAAACUCAUGUUGCCUGACAGAAUCACAUAGUGGUCAACAUAGUUUAAGAUCAACUUUGGCAAGGGCUUAACCUAAAAGCCCCAAAGUUGCAUGACUACACUUGUCUUGAAGAACCAUAAUGCCAAUUAUGGUUGUCUUCCAACUUGUGUCCAAAUCCAACCACAGGGUAUAGGAUAAUGCUACUAAAUCUGCAAGAAGAGAAUUCUUCUUAGUGUAAAUAGUUUUGGUUUGCUGUUGUGUUUGUUUCCAUUCAGGUUUUGAUGUUCUUUGUUUUUGUUGGUGUUUGAUACUUUUUUGUUCUUUUGUUCUUUCUUUGAUUUUAUAUUUUGCUAAGGCUAUACACUGGAUAUACUAAAUGCCCUUUUAAAGCCCCUAUUGAGUCGAAUUUCUGUAAUUUCAUAAAUAAAAAAGCAAUUUCCAACUCUUCA